GUCUCUUUGUAUAUUAUAAAUAAAGAGUCGGGCCUGCUCGGUGAUAAUAAAUUUAACAGCUGCGGUAUUUUAACUGUACUAAGGUAGCAUAAUAGUUUGCCUUAUAAUUUGAGGCUAGAAUGAAUGGUUUGACGAAGGUUAAUCUGUCUCUAUUUUAUUUAGUAGAAAUUAAUUUUUAUAGUGAAAAAGCUUAAAUUUUUUAAAGGGACGAGAAGACCCUAUUGAGCUUUUAAUUUUAAUUUUUUACAGUUUUGUAGUAUUAUAUAAAUUUUAAUUGGGGUGAUUAAGGAAUAAAAUUUUAAGUUAUAUUAGUAACUUCCUUAUAUUAUAUAUAGAUAUAUUAAUUAACCAAUAAGUAUAUUGCUUAUAUUAUAGUUACCAUAGGGAUAACAGCGUAAUUUAUUUAGAAAGUUCUUAUUGAAAAAUAAGAUUGCGACCUCGAUGUUGGAUUAAAGUAACCUUAAGGUGUAGAAGCUUUAUUAGGUAAAUCUGUUCGAUUUUUAAAACUUU
rnacentral:rRNA from 1 species